rnacentral:rRNA from 1 species
AUUGAACGCUGGCGGCAGGCCUAACACAUGCAAGUCGAACGAGCGGCGGACGGGUGAGUAAUGUAUGGGAAACUGCCUGAUGGAGGGGGAUAACUACUGGAAACGGUAGCUAAUACCGCAUACCAUCAGAUGUACCCAGAUGGGAUUAGCUUGUAGGUAAGGUAACGGCUCACCUAGGCGACGAUCCCUAGCUGGUCUGAGAGGAUGAUCAUCCACACUGGGACUGAGACACGGCCCAGACUCCUACGGGAGGCAGCAGUGGGGAAUAUUGCACAAUGGGCGCAAGCCUGAUGCAGCCAUGCCGCGUGUAUGAAGAAGGCCUUCGGGUUGUAAAGUACUUUCAGUCGGGAGGCGUUACCGACAGAAGAAGCACCGGCUAACUCCGUGCCAGCAGCCGCGGUAAUUC